UACGGAGGGGGCUAGCGUUGUUCGGAAUUACUGGGCGUAAAGCGUGCGCAGGCGGUGAUGUAAGACAGUUGUGAAAUCCCCGGGCUCAACCUGGGAACUGCAUCUGUGACUGCAUUGCUGGAGUGCGGCAGAGGGGGGAUGGAAUUCCGCGUGUAGCAGUGAAAUGCGUAGAUAUGCGGAGGAACACCGAUGGCGAAGGCAAUCCCCUGGGCCUGCACUGACGCUCAUGCACGAAAGCGUGGGGGAGC
rnacentral:rRNA from 1 species